GCCACAAAUUGAAGAAUUUGCUACAAGAAUAACUAGUCACAAUAAUUUUCAUAAUAGCUAAAAUUCCAAAUAUUUUUGAUUCCAAAACGAAUUCCAAUUUACACAUAAAGAUUUUAAUAAAGUAGCUAAGAAUAAAAAGAAUUUACAUUCCACAAUAGGUUUCAAGUUACAUAGUACAUAAUUCUUCUACAACAUCAUGUUGCUUGAGACACUGUCUUCUUAUUUCACUCCUCAUCGAGUCUUCAACUGCACCAUCUUGGUGUUAACUUGUCAUUGCUGCUCUAACUCCACCAAUCUACCUGUCAAUACAAAAGUAUGUUAACACCUCGAAACGAUCAUAUAUGUUUAACAGCCACAACUGAGUUGAAAUUAACACAAAGAUGUAAGUUCGAUUAGUAAAAAUGUUGAAUUAUAUAUGGCUCCUCCCAACAUUAUAACUUUAAAAUCUUUAAAUUCUGAAUCACUACUUAUAAAAAAUAAGAUAUAAUAUUUAUCAAAUUGCUGAAAUAAUCCAUAAAAUUGUACCCAGAAACCCAAGUAAAGUAGGUAUAAAAAAUUUUACAAACCCUAAAAUAUAGAAAUAUGAGUUUACCUCUUCUGUUCAAAAAUAGAGAAGCGAUGGGGUUCUCUCUCGCUAUUCUUUGUCGUUCUCGAUCUUCUUAGUUAACCGUGAUUAAAGAACGGAAUGAAAAAGUGGGGAAGGUGGGUAGCGGCGGGAGUGGGGAAGUCAGAGUAUAGUUUAGGUUUUUAGGGAUUUUGCUUUGGGCUAAAUGGC
rnacentral:lncRNA from 1 species